ensembl:lncRNA
UUAUGAACCUCUCCCUCUUCUUCCUCUAAUUGUGACCAUUUCCUCUGGCGGCGUGUAUUCAUGUUUUCUUGGACAUCUAACAAUUGAAACAGCUUUUCCCUUUCAGAAACACUCACAUUCAGGUUAUUGGCGUUGGUUUGGGUUUUGUUUUGGCUUUUUUUUUUUUUUUUCAUCUGCUGCCAAUUAAUGAGGGGGAAAAUGAGCUGGAUUUCUUAGAGGGAAAAAAAAGCUCCCUGCCACACAAUAUCCCGCCUCAGCAUUUUGUCUCAGAGCACAGCCUCCAACCCCUAACAGGCUGCGUUGCUCAGAGCCACAGGACUGUUGGGGUUUUUUUCCCUUUUCUUUCCCUCCAUUGCUGGCUUCAUUAUUGACCAUAAUGCCCCAACCACUUCAGCAGUAAUGUCCUUGAGCACCAAGGAGUCAAGGCCUUUUGGGCAGCCCCUCCAGAACAAGAUGGCGGCCCAGAAAGAAAGGAGGCUUUGUGGGGAGAGAGGGCCCACCUGCCUGUCAGGAUACAGGCUCACAGAGCAGCGCUUCUAAAGAAAGAGGUGAAAAGGCCCCUCUUCUGAAGGCUGGGCCAAUCCCAGCUGAGCUGUGCCUCCCCUCCCAGAGCAGCUCUGGUGGGCAGGCAGAGGGCCAUCUUGACGUAACUUCCAGCAGGGCCCUGGGAACAACAGGUGGAGCCCUUGGUGGAUGCUCUGCUUCUGCAGUCACAGGCCCCGGAGAUUGCCUUUUUAAGAUUCAGAACACCGAGCUCUGAUCAGCUCUCCAAUACACGCUCAGGGCAGCAGUUGAUGUCACUUGAUCAAGGGCCCAGCAGGGACAGACAGCCAGGCUUCCCAUGUGCUCUCACAGACCCCAAGGACAGUGCCUGCAGAAACGGGCAGAGAGGGCAGGCUGGCGAUUAGAGCGGCCCAUCGAUGCCCGUGAAGGGUCCUGGCGGGAUCAGAUGAUCAUCCGGCAAGCUGCCACGUCUUUUACCUUCCACCAGCGAUUACUGACAGAGACAAAUGGGGCAAGUUGUCCAAUGGAACGAGCACAACCCAGAGCCCAGAUGCAGGAGAACCUUCCAGAACCCCACAGAGACACACUCAGGCACCCCCUGGGCAUGGACAGCCCCCAGUCUCUCCCCUUCUCCUCGGGGCUGUUGUGUCACUGCCAGGAGCCUUGUGACCACCCCCUCCUGCUGAAAGUGUCCUGUAAAGAUCUAAUUCUGUGUGAUGAACUGUAUGAUAAUGUAUAUUUAAUGUGAAGCUUUUAAUAUACACGUGUUUUGUUUAAACUGUACCUCACUGAGCCUGCAUGUUUUCUUUCUUUCAAAUGCAAACGUGUGCCAGGGGUCUAGUUUGAUUGCCUUCUUCUUGCCGAAGUUGAAGUUCUGCCAUCAUUCCCCAAAGAUGGAUCGUUAUGGAAAAAAAGGAAACUUCCUGCUUCGUAAUUAGGAGGAAGCUAGAGCCCUAAUGAGCUCGUUAAGUGAAAACAAAUUAAUUUGUUCAGCAAACAUUUGUUGAGUCCUUGAGCCUAGUGGCUACAGAGGAGAACAGAGCCCAAGCCCUGCCCUCAGGAAGUUUCCAGUGUGGAGGAAAACAGGCAACUCCACGUGAUGCAAUAGAGGCGGGCCAGGGGUGGGGGCAGAUGAGGGGGGAUUGAGUCUGUUUGCAGCGGUCAGGAAAGUUGUGCCUUGGAGGAUGAGUCGGGAGCCUGAAAGCCUGGUACUCCCAGCAGAGGUAACAGGUGGGGGGGUCACAGUGUAGCACAGCCUGCAUAGUAGGAGAUGGCGAGGUCUCUGGGCCUCUGAGGGCUUCAUCCUGUGGAGGCAAGGAGAGGGGAGUUCAUCGCUUGUGGCAGGAAGCCAUUCUUGGUUUUCCUGAAGACUGGGAGGUGCUGGCCCGUUGAGGCCUUACCUGGUGACUUGGGCAGUAAAGAAUCUGCCUGCAAUGCAAGAGACCUGGGUUUGAUCCCUGGAUUAGGAAGAUCACCUGGAGAAGGGAGUAGCAACCCUCUCCAGUAUUCUUAGAGAAUUUCAUGGAUAGAGGAGCCUGGCGGGCUACAAUCCAUGGGGUCACAGAGUCGGACACAACUGAGCGACUAACCCUUGCACUUUCUGCGUUCCGGGGAGAGGCAGGUAGGAUACGACUGGCAUACAGUCUGCCAUUGUUUGUUCCCCUGUCAUGAUCAUGAUGAUGUCCUUACGCAGCCUGAGACACGGAGGCCCAGGAGGGUCUGCAGCCCGAGCUCCUUCCUCCCUCACAGGGACCAGCAUCGAGGGCCAGAGACUGAGGUUCAGAGAGGGAUAGGAGGACGCUCAGAGCACACACCAGUCUCGGCCGGAAGGGAAGGCAGCUCCAAGUCAAUUGGCCUGUUACACAGACGGAAACUGAAGCCCAGGCUCUUGUGCUUUCCAGCUGUGCGACCUGAGCAAGGUGUAAGAAGCUUCCAUUUUCUCCAUGGUAAAGUGGCAUGAGAAGUGACCUCACGGGGUUACUGCAAAGAUUACACGCAGUGUUGGAUAAACACCGUUCACAUGUCUUAGCUUUCGUCAACCUACAGACAGCAUCAGCUAGGAUGAGAACAAGGUGUGCUUUCAGCAAAGGCAGCGUUCAAUACAGCCACAGAAUUCAAAGGAAAGAGGGUCUGGGGUUCUAGAAAGGCUUCCUGUAGGAGGUGACAGAGGAGCCCACUUUACAAAUGAAAAGUGCCCCAGCACCACUGAACAUCAUGAAGGAUCAGUGCUCAAGAUCAUUUUCCUGUCCGGAUUGAAGUCCAAAAUUGCUCUCUUCAUUCCCUACCUCUGCAUCUUCUGCUAUCCCAUCUUUAUGUAUUUGAAUUAAUGCUAACAUACUAUAUUAUUUAAAUAAUAAGCAGCUGUUGUGUUUACCAUUUAACUAAUUAUCAUAUCACAUUUAUUGUCUUUACUGUUUAAGCAUCAAAUCCAUGCAGUGUGUUGACUGUUUAUUAAACACAUAUCAUGUUCAUUAUUUAUCUGUCUCCACCCACUAGAAUGUGGACUCCACACAAGCAGAAGUCUAGGAGAGCUCCUGACACAUAGUAGGUGCUUAAUAAGUAUUUGUUAAAUGACAUAACAAUGAUAACAGUUCCCAUAUACGGGGGCUUACUGUGUGUGCCCUACACGUUGUGCACACCUGGUCUGUAGGUGUGUAGGUCUAGGACUCAGACCUGGGUCUGCUGAUCUUGCAACAUGCCACAUCUACUUCAGUGGGUCCCACCUUUGCCUCAUAUAGUUCACUCAGGCCUCUUGUAAAUUACAAAUUCCUAAGCCCUUCUUUUCUAAGUACUUGGAUGCAAUCUCAAAAACGACAGAAUGAUCUCUGUUCGUUUCCAAGGCAAACCAUUCAAUAUCACAGUAAUCCAAGUCUAUGCCCCAACCAGUAAUGCUGAAGAAGCUGAAGUUGAACGGUUCUAUGAAGACCUACAAGACCUUUUAGAACUAACAUCCAAAAAAGAUGUCCUUUUCAUUAGAGGGGCUGCUGCUGCUGCUGCUAAGUCGCUUCAGUCGUGUCCGACUCUGUGCGACCCCAUAGACGGCAGCCCACCAGGCUCCCCUGUCCCUGGGAUUCUCCAGGCAAGAACACUGGAGUGGGUUGCCAUUUCCUUCUCCAAUGCAUGAAAGGGAAAAGUGAAAGUGAAGUUGCUCAGUCGUUUCCGACUCUUAGCGACCCCAUGGACUGCAGCCUACCAGGCUCUUCCGUCCAUGGGAUUUUCCAGGCAAGAGUACUGGAGUGGGGUGCCAUUCAUUAGAGGGGACUGGAAUGCAAAAGUAGGAAGUCAAGAAACACCUGGCUGCUGCUGAGUCACGUCAGUCGUGUCCAACUCUGUGCGACCCCACAGACAGCAGCCCACCAGGCUCCCCCAUCCCUGGGAUUCUCCAGGCAAGAACACUGGAGUGGGUUGCCAUUUCCUUCUCCAAUGCAUGAAAGUGAAAAGUGAAAGUGAAGUCGCUCAGUCGUGUCCGACCCUCAGCGACCCCAUGGACUGCAGCCUUCCAGGCUCCUCCAUCCAUGGGAUUUUCCAGGCAAGAGUACUGGAGUGGGGUGCCAUUGCCUUCUCCAAAGAAACACCUGGAGUAACAGGCAAAUUUGGCCUUGGAAUAUGGAAUGAAGCAGGGCAAAGGCUAAUAGAGUUUUGCCAAGAGAACGCACUGGUCAUAACAAACACCCUCUUCCAACAACACAAGAGAAGACUCUACACAUGGACAUCGCCAGAUGGUCAACACCAAAAUCAGAUUGAUUAUAUUCUUUGCAGCCAAAGAAGGAGAAGCACUAUAUAGUCAGCAAAAACAAGACCAGAAGCUGACUGUGGCUCAGACCAUGAACUCCUUAUUGCCAAAUUCAGACUUAAAUUGAAGAAAGUAGGGAAAACCACUAGACCAUUCAGGUAUUACCUAAAUCAAAUCCUUUACGAUUAUACAGUGGAAGUGAGAAAUAGAUUUAAGGGCCUAGAUCUGAUAGAGUGCCUGAUGAACUAUGAACUGAGGUUCGUGACAUUGUACAGGAGACAGGGAUCAAGACCAUCCCUAUGGAAAAGAAAUGCAAAAAAGCAAAAUGGCUGUCUAGGGAGGCCUUACAAAUAGCUGUGAAAAGAAGAGAAGCGAAAAGCAAAGGAGAAAAGGAAAGAUAUAAGCAUCUGAAUGCAGAGUUCCAAAGAAUAGCAA